rnacentral:rRNA from 1 species
GUGGGGAAUAUUGGACAAUGGGCGCAAGCCUGAUCCAGCCAUGCCGCGUGAGUGAUGAAGGCCUUAGGGUUGUAAAGCUCUUUCAGUAGGGAAGAUAAUGACGGUACCUACAGAAGAAGCCCCGGCUAACUUCGUGCCAGCAGCCACGGUAAUACGAAGGGGGCUAGCGUUGUUCGGAUUUACUGGGCGUAAAGCGCACGUAGGCGGUUUGUUAAGUCAGGGGUGAAAUCCCACAGCUCAACUGUGGAACUGCCCUUGAUACUGGCAAGCUAGAGUCCGGAAGAGGUGAGUGGAACUCCUAGUGUAGAGGUGGAAUUCGUAGAUAUUAGGAAGAACACCAGUGGCGAAGGCGGCUCACUGGUCCGGUACUGACGCUGAGGUGCGAAAGCGUGGGGAGCAAACAGGAUUAGAUACCCUAGUAGUCC